rnacentral:rRNA from 1 species
UUGGCGAGUAGCCUAAGGUGAACGAGUGAAACGUGGUCAAGGAACUCGGCAUAAUGAUCCCGUAACUUCGGAAGAAGGGAUGCCAGUUUGGGUAGCCAGCUUCGCGCUGGUCGCUCUUUCUGGUCGCAGAGAAUCGACUCAAGCGACUGUUUAGCAAAAACACAGGUGCGUGCUAAGCCGCGUAAGGCGCCGUAUACGCACUGACGCCUGCCCGGUGCCGGAAGGUUAAGGGGAGAUGUUAGCCGCAAGGCGAAGCAUUGAGCCGAAGCCCCGGUAAACGGCGGCCGUAACAAUAACGGUCCUAAGGUAGCGAAAUUCCUUGUCGGGUAAGUUCCGACCUGCACGAAUGGCGUAACGACUUGAGUACUGUCUCGACCACGUGCUCGGCGAAAUGGCAGUAUCGGUGAGGAUUCCGAUUUUCCCGCAGCAGGACAAAAAGACCCCAUGCACCUUUACUGUAGCUUGCCAUUGGACGUCGCACGUGACUGUGUAGCAUAGGUGGGAGCCUUUGAGGCCCGGGCGCUAGCUCGGGAUUAGGCAUCAGUGAAAUACCACCCUGGCUCUUGUAACGUCCUCACCACGCUCUGGAAAACCCAGUCUGGGACCGUGGCAGGUGGGCAGUUUGACUGGGGCGGUCGCCUCCGGAAAAGUAACGGAGGCGCGCGAUGGUUCCCUCAGCGCGGUCGGUACUCGCGCUCUUGAGUGUAACGGCAAAAGGGAGCCUGACGGUGAGACCGACGGGUCGAGCCGCCACGAAAGUGGGCCGUAGUGAUCCGGUAGCCCGUAGUGGAUCUGCUAUCGCUCAACGGAUAAAAGGUACGCUGGGGAUAACAGGCUUAUCGCAUCCGAGAGUUCACAUCGACGAUGCGGUUUGGCACCUCGAUGUCGGCUUGUCACAUCCUGGGGCUGGAGAAGGUCCCAAGGGUCCGGCUGUUCGCCGGUUAAAGUGGCACAUGAGCUGGGUUCAAAACGUCGUGAGACAGUUUGGUCUGUAUCCGCUGUGGGCGUUGGAGAAUUGAGGGACGCGGACUCUAGUACGAGAGGACCGAGUCGGACGAUCCGCUCGUGUCCCGGCUGUGUCGCCAGAUGCAACGCCGGGUAGCGAUGAUCGGUAGGGAUAACCGCUGAAAGCAUCUAAGUGGGAAGCCCUUCCCAAGAUGAAUUCUCCCUGGAGCCUUGAGCUCCCUGAAGGGCCGUCGGAGACUACGACGUCAAUAGGCCGGAUGUGGAAGCGCGGUAACGCGUUCCGAGCAAACCGGUCCUAAUCGCCCGUGAGGUUUGACUAC